rnacentral:rRNA from 1 species
AGUGAACGCUGGCGGUAGGCCUAACACAUGCAAGUCGAACGGCAGCACAGUAAGAGCUUGCUCUUACGGGUGGCGAGUGGCGGACGGGUGAGGAAUACAUCGGAAUCUACUUUUUCGUGGGGGAUAACGUAGGGAAACUUACGCUAAUACCGCAUACGACCUACGGGUGAAAGCAGGGGAUCUUCGGACCUUGCGCGAUUGAAUGAGCCGAUGUCGGAUUAGAUAGUUGGCGGGGUAAAGGCCCACCAAGGCGACGAUGCGUAGCUGGUCUGAGAGGAUGAUCAGCCACACUGGAACUGAGACACGGUCCAGACUCCUACGGGAGGCAGCAGUGGGGAAUAUUGGACAAUGGGCGCAAGCCUGAUCCAGCCAUACCGCGUGGGUGAAGAAGGCCUUCGGGUCGUAAAGCCCUUUUGUUGGGAAAGAAAAGCAGCAGGUUAAUACCCCGCUGUCCUGACGGUACCCAAAGAAUAAGCACCGGCUAACUUCGUG